GACCUGAGUCAAAAUCAGGAGUCAGACAUUCCACCAGCCGGGCCGCCCAGGGCCCCAACUCCGUCCCAGUUUGAAACUGCAGGUCCUGUGCCCAGGAAGGCCCCUCAGGCCCCGCAGCCUCCUCAUCGCUGCCCCUGCCACCCAUCGCUGCUCCCCAGCACCCUGCACUGGAGAACCUCACCCCUGCCACCCAUCGCUGCUCCCCAGCACCCUGCACUGGAGAACCUCACCCCUGCCACCCAUCGCUGCUCCCCAGCACCCUGCACUGGAGAACCUCACCCCUGCCACCCAUCGCUGCUCCCUGUACCCUGCACUGGAGAACCUCACCCCUGCUUCUGUCGGGUGGCUGACACUCUCUGCCACGGUCUGUAACCAUUUCUUGCCCCGCCCACAUUCCGGGGCAGACACCAGCCCCCAGCUCCCCAGGGUCCUUGGCCAGAUGAGAAAAAUGAAGAGUCUGAACUCUUUGCUAACCUGGACUCACUGCCCGUCUUUGGAGACAGCUUCCUGCUGUGGCGAACAUCCUUCCUUCUCCGGAACAGCGGGAGGACUCUUAGACUUGGAGACUGUGAAGGUGGUGCAGAACGUUCCAAGGACUCACAUGCACUUCCUGUAUCAUUAACGCCUUCCGUGGGGUAUUGGCCACAGGUUGAGGCAUAAAACCCUU